AUCCAGAUCUGCCUUGAACUGCCGGCUCAUGGAAGUUGCCCAGUCCACAGCAAAACUGUUGCCUGAACUGUCACAGCACCAGGAUGCACUCAGCUUUCCUGGAGCUGCCACACAUCGUCUCAUCCCUCCUCUAGGAGCAGCACUGUCAGUGCUGGCUGGGAGCAGACUUGGGCUACGUUUGCUGUGCAGCUGCGGCUAACCGAGGUGAGCCUGCUGGAGAGGUGAUGGGAACAGCCAGCACAAGGAUGGAGACACUGUGCAGCCGACGCGCAGGAUGGGGCUGCUCGGCCGCGGACAGAGGAGGAGGAGGAGCAGCGCCGGAUCUCUCUUGGUAGUGCCUGUCCUGCUGCCACUGCUGGUUUGGUUUAAACUCCGAAGCCGAUUUCCCACAAAGGAUGCUCACCAGGGUUGUUGGCCUCCUGCGCCGCAGGAGGGGCUGGAUCCCGACUUUGGGACCUGUUUUGUUCCCGCGGGAGAAGCGCAAGCGACUGAAUGCCGGCUGCCAGGCGAUGCCAGGUCCUCUGGCAGGACGCGCCACUGCUGUGCAGGGACACGCGCUCAUCAGCUGUGCCACAGUAAGAGACUUAAAUAACAUAUGUCAUUUCCUUUUAAAAAGUCAGGAGCAUCUCUGUCCAUGCUGAUGUAAUUCCCAGCACAUCAGGACACCCUGCGCGAGCCAGUAGGCUCUGGGCCGGAGAGGCCUGGGUGAGCAGCCGCGUGCUCGCCAUCAGUGCUGGGUGCGGAGGCAAAGGCCCUGGAGGGGUUUGCCUCCAAGGUGAGAAGCAGCCCUGGUUUGUGCACGGAGCGGUAGGCGGUGGUGUCCGUCAGCACCUCGGAGCCCCUCUCCCUGCACCGGCCGUGAAGGCUUGCGCUUGUGAGCACUGUGCGCACCCACCCCAGUAACGGAAAUGCACCAUGCAACUCUCAAGCAAACGCCUCCGAGUGUGGGUGUGAAAUUGUAUGCUUUCUGUAAUAAUUCUUCAUCCGACUAAAUGACUGUGGAGGCAGCAGUCUGUCAGCAGACAUCAUGUGAGCAAGGUAGGUUCGUUUCCUGGCUGCCGUCGCCUCUCCCCUAUCCUCUCCCAGCAGAUCACCAGCCGCUGCUUAUUGCUGGCACUGGCUCCUUUGGAGUGAAAAACAUGAUUUUGUUUGGGGCAGGAGCACUUGGCAAGCCUGCAGUUCUUGCUGGAAAGCGAUUGGUGCUGAGGUUUUACUGUCCGUUCAGCUCUGAAUCACGGCGUGCUCCCCGGCGCAGCUUGGAUGCAGAACACGUCCAGUAAUCAGGCUUAGCAAUGCUGCUGGACCUCUGCUUUUUAUAGCUGGUUUGCACUGACCACGGCAUUCAGUACACCUUCAAAUCACACAGGAAGGUACCUUAGCUGCAGAGCGAGCAAAAGGAGCAGUGGUCAUGAGCUGUUUUAGUAGCUCUGGGGAGUAAUGAAGGAAGCUCGGAGGAGAAACACUGUCUGAAAUGCACCUUGUCACCAGCAAGCAAAGCCCCUGUGAAAUGAUGAUUUUCCCUAGUGGCUGUGACCUAAAAUAGCCAGAGCACCCCAGCAGGCUUGCAGGGCCUGUGGCUGCAGGCGCUGAGC
rnacentral:lncRNA from 1 species